CGAACGAUGAACCACUUCGGUGGGGAUUAGUGGCGAACGGGUGAGUAACACGUGGGCAAUCUGCCCUGCACUCUGGGACAAGCCCUGGAAACGGGGUCUAAUACCGGAUAUGACCAUCUUGGGCAUCCUUGAUGGUGUAAAGCUCCGGCGGUGCAGGAUGAGCCCGCGGCCUAUCAGCUUGUUGGUGAGGUAACGGCUCACCAAGGCGACGACGGGUAGCCGGCCUGAGAGGGCGACCGGCCACACUGGGACUGAGACACGGCCCAGACUCCUACGGGAGGCAGCAGUGGGGAAUAUUGCACAAUGGGCGCAAGCCUGAUGCAGCGACGCCGCGUGAGGGAUGACGGCCUUCGGGUUGUAAACCUCUUUCAGCAGGGAAGAAGCGAAAGUGACGGUACCUGCAGAAGAAGCGCCGGCUAACUACGUGCCAGCAGCCGCGGUAAUACGUAGGGCGCGAGCGUUGUCCGGAAUUAUUGGGCGUAAAGAGCUCGUAGGCGGCUUGUCACGUCGGUUGUGAAAGCCCGGGGCUUAACCCCGGGUCUGCAGUCGAUACGGGCAGGCUAGAGUUCGGUAGGGGAGAUCGGAAUUCCUGGUGUAGCGGUGAAAUGCGCAGAUAUCAGGAGGAACACCGGUGGCGAAGGCGGAUCUCUGGGCCGAUACUGACGCUGAGGAGCGAAAGCGUGGGGAGCGAACAGGAUUAGAUACCCUGGUAGUCCACGCCGUAAACGGUGGGCACUAGGUGUGGGCAACAUUCCACGUUGUCCGUGCCGCAGCUAACGCAUUAAGUGCCCCGCCUGGGGAGUAC
rnacentral:rRNA from 1 species